UACGUAGGGUGCGAGCGUUGUCCGGAAUUACUGGGCGUAAAGAGCUCGUAGGUGGUUUGUCGCGUUGUCCGUGAAAACUCACAACUCAAUUGUGGGCGUGCGGGCGAUACGGGCAGACUGGAGUACUGCAGGGGGAGACUGGAAUUCCUGGUGUAGCGGUGGAAUGCGCAGAUAUCAGGAGGAACACCGGUGGCGAAGGCGGGAUCUCUGGGCAGUA
rnacentral:rRNA from 1 species